GCCAGCCCACCCCCAAGUUAGGGUUAACCCAACCGCAGCACUCUCGAUUCCCCUCACGCGAUUUCUCCCCAUCCACCUCGCCGUCCCCGGUGACUGGACCAGCAGCGCCGCCGCCGUCCUGCUUACUGGGUGGAGCACCCCACAGGCGAGGGAGGCCACGAGAGCAUCCGCCCCGGCCGGCGGCCGUGCUCGUGCGCAGGGGAGGCACAGGAGCUCCACGCGCGAUCCUGGUCGCCGGCGGGGACGGCCAAGGCGGGGCGACGGUGAAGCUCAGCGACCGCCGCCGUCUGUGCAGAAUGUCGGCGGGGAGGAGCGGAGGACGAGCUAGCUGGUGGUCGCCUGCCCGAGUUGCUGCCUCCGGCGUCGUCUUCACCGCCCACGUCACGAGCUGCUGCCAACGGCCAUAAAUAGGAGCAGCUGCUGCUGCCGGCCGUCGACGAUCCCGCCUGGUCUGCUGCAGGGGAGGAUGACACGGCCUGGCCUCUCCUCGCCUCCAGCCGUUCCGGCUACAGCGGUGCCGCAGGCUUGUGGGGCGGGUCCAGCGUUUCUUGUACUGUUCAGUACUUGUUGACGGCAGGUAAAUAAGUAGAUAAGAAAAUAUCCCUGGUUUUUCUUGAGGCUCCUGUACAUCGAGUCAUUGAUGGCAGGUAAUGUAGUAGGUGGAAGGUAUUUCUGGCGACAACAUGCUGUCUUUGGUAGUCGGUGUUUCGUAUGGUUGGCCGGAAGUUAAGUGUGUUCACUGUUUUAAUUAACCUGCAGUGUUACUUUUAGUGUAUUCACUGUUUCCUUUAGCUUUGAGUCUCUUCCUGUGACAUACCACUUGCACAUGGUCUAUAUUCAUGCAUAAUGUUACCGUAGUGGUUUCAAGAACGAACUCUAGAUAAUGCAACCCAAGGAAUGGUCCUGCUGAUCGGCCAGUGCUAGGGAGUUCAACUAGGACUCCGCUGUGAACCUGAUGCUGAAAAUGCACAAAGUGAUAGCAUAUCCCAAUUUUGUGAUUCCGGUGGAAUGUUUUCCUGUUUAUGCACAGUGCUGGAUAUGCAAAUCAGCUUAAUCUUUGUGUUGUGCAGUGCAUUUGUGUUUAGCAAUCACAUCCCUAGUUUUGUGUUUACAUCAUUUUCCAAGCAGUAUCAUGGUUGUUGUGGGUGUAUUCAACUGAGUUUUAUUUAGGCUGGAGGCUAUCAAUCUGAUAAGAAAAGUUGUUUCUUGGAUUUGGUAAUGGCACCGGCAGGAGGCGUUGUAACUAUCUUGUGCGGUGUAGGACUUGUCGAUCUCUGUUUUGGUUCAAGUAGUACAUACAUAUUGGAAUGCAAGUUUUUGUUCAAGUAUUUUUGCUUGGUGGAUCAUGAGUAAAAGAAUGAAGAAUACAUGUGGGUUUAUUAGCCAAUAAACUCAGUUGCACUCUUUCCCAGCCAGCUUAGAAGAGCAAUAUAUGCUCCUGUUGGGUGUUUAAAGAACACUGCUGUUUGGUUUGGUUAUAAUGGCUUUUAUUCAAGUUGCAUUAGUCAUUUUCUCACAGUGCUUCUAUCAAUUUGAUAACAGUAGUUUCUGAUAGUUUGAGUUGUUUGUAAAUGUCAGUGUUUGCUUUGGUGACCUGACCAUGUUUUGCUCUUGUUUGAGGAUAACGGGGAGGACUAAACUACGACAGCAGUGGCAUUCUUCUUCGACUCCAUCCAUGUGUGUUCAUGGAAGUUUCUGGAAAACUGAAUGUAGCAGUUAGAACAUAUUUUCCAAUCUAGUGGACUCUCCUUGGGGCCUCCGGCCGUUCUGGCUCCAGUGUUUCUUGUACUGUUCGGUACUCGUUGAUGGCAGGUAAGUAGGUAAGAAAAUAUCCCUGGUUUUUCUUGAGGCUCCUGUACGUCGAGUCAUUGAUGACAGGUAAUGUAGUAGGUGGAAGAUAUUUCUGGCGACAACAUGUUGUCUUUGGUAGUCAGUGUUUCAUAUGGUUGGCCGGAAAUUGAUUGUGUUCCCUGUUUUGAUUAACCUGCUGUGUUAUUUUUAGUGUAUUCACUGUUGCCUUUAGCUUUAAGUCUCUUCCUGUGAUAUACCACUUGCACAUGGUCUAUAUUUGUGCAUAAUGUUGCCGUAGUGGUUUCAAGAACUCUAGAUUAUGCAACCCAAGGAAUAGUCACGCUGAUUGGCCAGCGUUUGGGAGUUCAACUAGGACUCCAUUGUGAACCUGAUGCUGCAAAUGCACAAUGUGAUAGCAUAUCCCUGUUUUGUGAUUCCGGUGGAAUGUUUUCCUUUUUAUGCAGUGUUGGAUAUUCAAAUCAGCUUAAUCUUUGUGUUGCGCAGUGCAUUUGUCUUUAGCAUCCAAAUCUCUAGUUUUUGUGUUUACAUCAUUUUCCAUGCAGUAUCAUGGUUAUUGUGGGUGUAUUCAACUGAGUUUUAUUUAGGCUAGAGGUUUCAUUUCCUCACUUGCUAUCAAUCUGAUAAGAAGAGUUGUUGCUUGGAUUUGGUAAUGGCACUGACAGGAGGCGUUGUAACCAUCUUGUGCUGUGUAGGCCUUGUCGAUCUCUGUUUUUGUUCAAGUAGUACAUACAUAUUGGAAUGCAAGUUUUUGUUCAAGUAUUUUUGCUUGCUAGAUCAUGAGUAAAAGAACUAAGAGUACAUGUGUGUUUAUUUGCCAAUAAACACACUUGCAUUCUUUCCCAGCCAGCUUAGAAGAGCAAUAUAUGCUCCUAUUGGGUGUUUAAAGAACAGUGCUGUUUGGUUUUGUGAAAAUGGCUUUAUUCAAGUUGCAUAAGUCAUUCUCUCACUUUGCUUCUAUCAAUCUGAUAACAGUAGUUGCUGUUAGUUUGAGUUAUUUGUAAGUGUCAGUGUCAGUGUCAGUGUUUGAUUUGGUGACCUGACCAUGCUUUGCUCAUGUUAGUUUGAGUUAUUUGUAAGUUUCUGGUUCCUCUUUGUGAUUUCUUUGUGUAGUUGAUCAUGUAGUAUCUCUACAUGGCAAUAUGGCAUUUGCAGGCCUGGAGUUGUUGUCCAAGCAGUAUCAUGGUUGUUAUUUGUCAGUGUUAUUUGUGUUACAAGUGGGAAGACUUGGUUCACUUGUCACUUGUUCUGUCUGCUGUGCGCCAUUUUCAAAAGAUGCUGUGCUAUUGUAUUUUCUAGGACUAACUCCGUCCCAAAAUAAGUGACUCGAUUAUGUCUAGAUAUGAAUGCAUGUAGACACAUUUUAGUAGUAGAUAGAUCCGUACUAGUGUCCUUGAUGCAGAUAAGAUUGUCUACCUGCCAAUUUGUAUGUUUCACCAUGUAAGUACUUGUUCAGUAGUAGUGCGCACUUGCCGACUUGGUUGAUUGAUUGCCGUUUGUGAUGUGCAGGUUGUUCCGCCUUACUCGCGAUUGUGUGCGGUGUGGCAGCAGGGAAGGGGAAGGGGAGGAUCCUGCGCGGCUGCGCCAAGCCAAGGAGGACCUUGUAGUGUUUAGUGGUCUGAAGAUUGGAACGGCCACAGCUUGUUGUAAUUAAUUAUAAUGGUUCCUUUUGCAGUUUUUUGGAUUUUUUGUUGAUGAGUUGCAUGUGGUGAGCUAAAGCUGUCAGUCUGGGAAGUUGAGCUCUAUAUGUACUACUAGAUGACUUGACAGGUUUUGGUAUGUAGUAUUAUUUGCUGUUUGAUCUGAAAAUGUCGAGAAAAUCUGUACUGGUCAUGUCAAAACUGUGAUUGAACUUGCUGAUCCAUGUAAAUGGAGAAGGAGGUGGAAAAAUGAAACCGUGAGGUUUGCAUCCGUUUUAUA